UUUUAUGACCAAUUUGUGCAGAAAUCCAUAUCAUUCCAAAGGGUUCACAUAUGUUUUCUUGCAACUGUGUAUAUAUAUAUAUAUGUACAUUGCACCCCUCCCUGUCACAGGUGCCUCAUCCCAGUGCCCUAUUUAGCCUUGUACUGCAGAGAGCCCCAGAUGGAAUUUCCCCCCCCAAGUAAGUGGGUUAAUCUCAUAAGAGCAGACAUUAGGCUGUUAGUGUAGGACCUGCCAACAAUGGGGUACAUUGACGUUGUGGCAGGCUUAUGCAAUGUAUGAUCAUAUAAUGUAACUAAAC